GAUGCCAUGCUUGAGUGAGGUAAAGGCUUUUUCCUUCCUCUCUGGUAAGGGUUCCAGGAAAGAGUUCGAUCUGUGAGUCAAGAACCUCUGCCCACUUGAUGUUAUCCUGUUUCUCCCCACCGACGAGUCUUCUCCGAUUCUAGAGGUCCUGGUUGCAGAGCAGGAGCGAGGUGGACUCUGCCUCCACUUGCCCUACUGUGUCUGGUCGGGAGCGCUGUCCAUGACCUGUGCCUUGGGCAUGAGAGUUACCACUCAGCCUCACACUAAGGGAUGACCGAGGUAUCCUUUUGUGCUCUGAUGACUGCCAUGUUCCCAGGCCUGGGGUUGAAGAGCCAUGCAGGGCUGCUGAGUCAAUGCAGCAAACAUUUAUGGAGCAUCCACUAUGUGCUGGGCAUGCAGUCAGUGUCUGGCACUGCUGGAGCAACCAGAUUCACUUCCUGUUCUAAAGGAGUUGGUUAUCCGGAAGGAGGGACAGACAUGGACACACACCUCUAUUGCUAGACGGAGUGGAGCAGGCUUCAUGAUAGCACUGUGCUGAUUGCUUUACACAAAGCAUCUCAUUUGCUCUUCAUAACUGCCCAUGAGACAGUAUUAUUAUUUUUAGUGUUCCUAACUGAUGCUUAAACUGUUGGAGUUGCACAGAGCUUGUUCUUGCUCAGAUUGGGUUGAGAUUCAAAUGCAGCUCUCCCUGGCUUUCUGUACCAGUCAAGGGGCAGGUGCCGUAGGGAAUCAGCAUGGGGCUUGGAGUCAGCCUGAUCUAGGUUGAAAUCGGUCUCUGCUGCUUUUCAGAUGUGACCUUGGGUAAGAUGACACUCUGAACUUCAGUUUCCUUAUCUGUAAAAAGGAGGACAGUGUAGAAAUUGGCAGGCCAGACAGUACAUGUAAACCCCCUUGGCACAAUUAAUAAAUAGAAGCAAAUGUCAAUAAUAAUAGGGGAACCAACAAAAUUCUGUGCCGGCUCAGGGUCCUUAAAGAGCACAUAGAAUGUUGACAUCAAGGAGAAGCCAGAGAACAUUUCAAGCAGAAAGAAGAGCUGAGCCCAGCAUGAAAGCAAGUAAUGAGGCGACGGGGGAGGAGAGCAAGUUGGGCUGCCUGGACCACGGAGGAAUCUUGCUAAUGAUGACACUGGAAACUGGAGAUGACCAUUAUGGAGUAGAAGAGCUGACAGGUUUUUCAGAGAGCAGAAGAAUGCACCGUUUCCCAGAAGUUCCUGACCCGGGAGUUCUCGCCUGUAGGGCAUGGGAGAUAAUCUGGUUUAUGGGGCCAUCAGAAGAAAGUCAUGUUCCAAGCUCUUAAAGAACUCCGAGCACUUUUUUCUUCUUAGACCCUUGUGUUAAAAACAAAGGAAUGAGACAAGGCCCUUCAGUGUAGAACGAAUCAAGGAAUACAAAAUAAAAUAAUGAAAAAAUGCUAUGCAAAUAACACAAACAUAAAAACACAAGCGGUGUUUUUUGAAUGAAAUUUUUUACUUUCAAAUUUGAUGUAGCCCUGCACCAGGAGGCAUGCAAUAUUUA
rnacentral:lncRNA from 1 species